rnacentral:rRNA from 1 species
GACGAACGCUGGCGGCGUGCCUAAUACAUGCAAGUCGAACGAGAGCGACCGGUGCUUGCACUGGUCAAUCUCGUGGCGAACGGGUGAGUCAAACGUGGGUAACCUGCCCAUCAGAGGGGGAUAACAUCCGGAAACGGAAGCUUAAACCGCUUAAGUCUUCGAGCCGCAUGCCUUGAAGUGUAAAAGAGUCCCAAGAAUCUGCUGAUGGAUGGGCCCGCGGUGCAUCAGCAAGUUGGUGAGGUAACGGCUCACCAAGGCCGGCAUGCAUAGCCGACCUGAGAGGGUAAUCGGCGACAGUAGGACUGCAACACGGCGCGAGCUCCUAAGGGAGGCAGCAUAAGGGAUUCUUCCGCUAUAGCCGCAAGUCUGACCGAGCAACGCCGCGUAGAUGAAGAAGGAUUUCGCAUCGUAAGACUCUGUUAUUAGAGAAGAAAAAUUGCUAGAGUAACUGUUAGCGCCUUGACGGUAUCUAACCAGAAAGCCACGGCUAGCUACGUG